rnacentral:rRNA from 1 species
UACAGAGGUCCCAAGCGUUGUUCGGAUUCACUGGGCGUAAAGGGUGCGUAGGCGGCCGGGUAAGUCUGAUGUGAAAUCCCGCAGCUCAACUGCGGAACUGCAUCGGAUACUCUCCGGCUAGAGGAAUGGAGGUGAGACUGGAAUUCUCGGUGUAGCAGUGAAAUGCGUAGAUAUCGAGAGGAACACCAGUGGCGAAGGCGAGUCUCUGGACAUUUCCUAACGCUGAGGCACGAAAGCCAGGGGAGCAAACGGG